CCUACGGGUGGCAGCAGUGAGGAAUAUUGGUCAAUGGGCGCGAGGCUGAACCAGCCAAGUAGCGUGAAGGAUGACUGCCCUAUGGGUUGUCAACUUCUUUUAUAAGGGAAUAAAGUGAUCCACGUGUGGCUAUUUGUAUGUACCAUAUUAAUAAGUAUCGGCUAACUCCGUGCCAGCAGCCGCGGUAAUACGGAGGAUCCGAGCGUUAUCCGGAUUUAUUGGGUUUAAAGGGUGCGUAGGCGGGUUGAUAAGUCAGUGGUGAAAGGUUGGGGCUCAACCCCAAAAUUGCGUUUGAAACUGUUGGUCUUGAGGAUAGUUGCGGUAGGCGGAAUGUGUGGUGUAGCGGUGAAAUGCUUAGAGAUCAUACAGAACACCGAUUGCGAAGGCAGCUUACCAAACUAUAUCUGACGUUGAGGCACGAAAGCGUGGGUAGCAAACAGGAUUAGAUACCCGAGUAGUC
rnacentral:rRNA from 1 species